UACGGGGGGGGUAAGCGUUGUUCGGAAUUACUGGGCGUAAAGGGCUCGUAGGCGGCCAACUAAGUCAGACGUGAAAUCCCUCAGCUUAACUGGGGAACUGCGUCUGAUACUGGAUGGCUUGGAUUCGGGAGAGGAAUGCGGAAUUCCAGGUGUAGCGGUGAAAUGCGUAGAGAUGUGGAGGAACACCGAUGGCGAAGGCAGCCCCCUGGGCUAACACUGACGCUCAGGCACGAAAGCGUGGGGAGCAAACAGG
rnacentral:rRNA from 1 species